rnacentral:lncRNA from 1 species
AUGGUUUCCCAGGAGACAGAGCUGCGGGGCAGGGGCUAGAAGCAGCAGCCUGGACGUGCACCAAUGAUUACGCACGGGCUGCGUAUAAAAAGUCCCCGAGGGAAGGAAAGCCGAAACUCCAUCCUGAGGGAUGCUGCGGCGAGAGAAUCUCCAACUCAUGGAGGCUGAGCUUCUGCGGGAGAGGCCACAGCCUGAAGAAGAGGUGGGAUCGGAAAUAAACCCGCCUGGGAGACCUGCAGGCACCAGCAGUAUUCAGAGACUCAAAUCUGGGACCCCGUUCUGAGUGACAGCAAGUGCGUGGACACACACAUUCUUGAAGAUACUGCUUUUCACUUCACAUUGUUCUACUCAGCGUCUCCACUGCUCCCAGCGUCUCUGCUGUGCCUCUUCUGGACAUAUAGAAGUGAUGUAUUCUUCAUAGUCUAAGAGCCCCAGCAAUAUUUAUAGCAAUCUUUAAUUUCCACUUAGUAAGUAUUUUGAACUUAUGAAAUUCCUGUAAGUGAAUUUUAGGUCAUGCCACGUGUACUCCACCUUCUGAAGUCUGCCCGUGAUGACCUUCUUUCAGGUACAAUAGGUACAAUUUGUCUAGUGUAGAUUGUCUAAUCUUGAUUAAUAUAGAUUUUCUUCAGUUCAGAAAUACAAUUUAAA